AGCCUAAGUCCUUAUUGGGAUAUGGCAUAAAAAACCGUGCAAGAUAGAGAGCCCAUCGUUUGGGAACACCUUGCACGGUCAUAUGCCGAAAGGCGUAUGGGUGGCGAAAGCCAUC
rnacentral:sRNA from 12 species